rnacentral:rRNA from 1 species
GGGUUGUGAGGUUAAGCGACUAAGCGUACACGGUGGAUGCCCUGGCAGUCAGAGGCGAUGAAGGACGUGCUAAUCUGCGAUAAGCGUCGGUAAGGUGAUAUGAACCGUUAUAACCGGCGAUUUCCGAAUGGGGAAACCCAGUGUGUUUCGACACACUAUCAUUAACUGAAUCCAUAGGUUAAUGAGGCGAACCGGGGGAACUGAAACAUCUAAGUACCCCGAGGAAAAGAAAUCAACCGAGAUUCCCCCAGUAGCGGCGAGCGAACGGGGAGCAGCCCAGAGCCUGAAUCAGUGUGUGUGUUAGUGGAAGCGUCUGGAAAGGCGCGCGAUACAGGGUGACAGCCCCGUACACAAAAAUGCACAUACUGUGAGCUCGAUGAGUAGGGCGGGACACGUGGUAUCCUGUCUGAAUAUGGGGGGACCAUCCUCCAAGGCUAAAUACUCCUGACUGACCGAUAGUGAACCAGUACCGUGAGGGAAAGGCGAAAAGAACCCCGGCGAGGGGAGUGAAAAAGAACCUGAAACCGUGUACGUACAAGCAGUGGGAGCCUCUUAAUGGGGUGACUGCGUACCUUUUGUAUAAUGGGUCAGCGACUUAUAUUCUGUAGCAAGGUUAACCGAAUAGGGGAGCCGAAGGGAAACCGAGUCUUAACUGGGCGUUAAGUUGCAGGGUAUAGACCCGAAACCCGGUGAUCUAGCCAUGGGCAGGUUGAAGGUUGGGUAACACUAACUGGAGGACCGAACCGACUAAUGUUGAAAAAUUAGCGGAUGACUUGUGGCUGGGGGUGAAAGGCCAAUCAAACCGGGAGAUAGCUGGUUCUCCCCGAAAGCUAUUUAGGUAGCGCCUCGUGAAUUCAUCUCCGGGGGUAGAGCACUGUUUCGGCAAGGGGGUCAUCCCGACUUACCAACCCGAUGCAAACUGCGAAUACCGGAGAAUGUUAUCACGGGAGACACACGGCGGGUGCUAACGUCCGUCGUGAAGAGGGAAACAACCCAGACCGCCAGCUAAGGUCCCAAAGUCAUGGUUAAGUGGGAAACGAUGUGGGAAGGCCCAGACAGCCAGGAUGUUGGCUUAGAAGCAGCCAUCAUUUAAAGAAAGCGUAAUAGCUCACUGGUCGAGUCGGCCUGCGCGGAAGAUGUAACGGGGCUAAACCAUGCACCGAAGCUGCGGCAGCGACACUAUGUGUUGUUGGGUAGGGGAGCGUUCUGUAAGCCUGCGAAGGUGUACUGUGAGGUAUGCUGGAGGUAUCAGAAGUGCGAAUGCUGACAUAAGUAACGAUAAAGCGGGUGAAAAGCCCGCUCGCCGGAAGACCAAGGGUUCCUGUCCAACGUUAAUCGGGGCAGGGUGAGUCGACCCCUAAGGCGAGGCCGAAAGGCGUAGUCGAUGGGAAACAGGUUAAUAUUCCUGUACUUGGUGUUACUGCGAAGGGGGGACGGAGAAGGCUAUGUUGGCCGGGCGACGGUUGUCCCGGUUUAAGCGUGUAGGCUGGUUUUCCAGGCAAAUCCGGAAAAUCAAGGCUGAGGCGUGAUGACGAGGCACUACGGUGCUGAAGCAACAAAUGCCCUGCUUCCAGGAAAAGCCUCUAAGCAUCAGGUAACAUCAAAUCGUACCCCAAACCGACACAGGUGGUCAGGUAGAGAAUACCAAGGCGCUUGAGAGAACUCGGGUGAAGGAACUAGGCAAAAUGGUGCCGUAACUUCGGGAGAAGGCACGCUGAUAUGUAGGUGAAGUCCCUUGCGGAUGGAGCUGAAAUCAGUCGAAGAUACCAGCUGGCUGCAACUGUUUAUUAAAAACACAGCACUGUGCAAACACGAAAGUGGACGUAUACGGUGUGACGCCUGCCCGGUGCCGGAAGGUUAAUUGAUGGGGUUAGCGGUAACGCGAAGCUCUUGAUCGAAGCCCCGGUAAACGGCGGCCGUAACUAUAACGGUCCUAAGGUAGCGAAAUUCCUUGUCGGGUAAGUUCCGACCUGCACGAAUGGCGUAAUGAUGGCCAGGCUGUCUCCACCCGAGACUCAGUGAAAUUGAACUCGCUGUGAAGAUGCAGUGUACCCGCGGCAAGACGGAAAGACCCCGUGAACCUUUACUAUAGCUUGACACUGAACAUUGAGCCUUGAUGUGUAGGAUAGGUGGGAGGCUUUGAAGUGUGGACGCCAGUCUGCAUGGAGCCGGCCUUGAAAUACCACCCUUUAAUGUUUGAUGUUCUAACGUUGGCCCCUGAUCGGGGUUGCGGACAGUGUCUGGUGGGUAGUUUGACUGGGGCGGUCUCCUCCUAAAGAGUAACGGAGGAGCACGAAGGUUGGCUAAUCCUGGUCGGACAUCAGGAGGUUAGUGCAAUGGCAUAAGCCAGCUUGACUGCGAGCGUGACGGCGCGAGCAGGUGCGAAAGCAGGUCAUAGUGAUCCGGUGGUUCUGAAUGGAAGGGCCAUCGCUCAACGGAUAAAAGGUACUCCGGGGAUAACAGGCUGAUACCGCCCAAGAGUUCAUAUCGACGGCGGUGUUUGGCACCUCGAUGUCGGCUCAUCACAUCCUGGGGCUGAAGUAGGUCCCAAGGGUAUGGCUGUUCGCCAUUUAAAGUGGUACGCGAGCUGGGUUUAGAACGUCGUGAGACAGUUCGGUCCCUAUCUGCCGUGGGCGCUGGAGAACUGAGGGGGGCUGCUCCUAGUACGAGAGGACCGGAGUGGACGCAUCACUGGUGUUCGGGUUGUCAUGCCAAUGGCACUGCCCGGUAGCUAAAUGCGGAAGAGAUAAGUGCUGAAAGCAUCUAAGCACGAAACUUGCCCCGAGAUGAGUUCUCCCUGACUCCUUGAGAGUCCUGAAGGAACGUUGAAGACGACGACGUUGAUAGGCCGGGUGUGUAAGCGCAGCGAUGCGUUGAGCUAACCGGUACUAAUGAACCGUGAGGCUUAACCUUACAACGCCGAAG